AUGAUGCGUGGUCCAUCCGGGCACGGCAUCGGCGGGCACCACCUCACAAGUGCACGACUUUGGCAGCCAACACCGGCACCCAAAUCAGAUCCACCGAACCCAGGCGUGGGCUCCGACGGGUGUGAGGAGGAGAUGACCAAGGGCGAGGGUCCAUUGAUCCGCAUCGACCUCGAGACGACCUACUCCUACGCCGGCAUGUGGCUGCAGGUUGAGAUCAGGGCCAACGACCAGGGCAACCACACCACACUACAUAGCCUGAACCAUCUCGCAAUGAACCCCACCAACACCAUCGCCGGUUUGUGUCUUCUUACUAAGUACACACUAGUUGAGCAGCUGAGCUUGAGGCAGCAACCAAGGAGCUUGAGGCGUUGCAUGUUGAUCAAAAUCAAGAAACACAUGUAA
rnacentral:rRNA from 1 species